UGGGGAAUCUGGACAAUGGGGGCAACCCUGAUCCAGCCAUGCCGCGUGAGUGAUGAAGGCCCUAGGGUCGUAAAGCUCUUUCGCCAGGGAUGAUAAUGACAGUACCUGGUAAAGAAACCUCGGCUAACUCCGUG
rnacentral:rRNA from 1 species